UUAAAUGAAAUGAAACACGCAUCUAGAUAUACAUGUUAUGUUUAAUUAUUAUUAUUUUUUGAACAAAAUUAUGCAUUAUGACUUAGUGAUCUUUUUAGAGCAAUGACAAUAAAUGAUAUAGAUCUAGUACGGGAAACUUAUUACUAUAAGAAAUAAUACUUUUAUGUUUAUCUGUUGAUGAUUAAGACUACAGUUAGAUCUAUACAUUUCUAACGAAUUUUGAGCGCUCUCUAUUUUCGUAAAAUCACACCACGAAGAGAAAGAAUUUUAUGAAGCUGACACAGAUCAGUGUCCCUUUCUCUUUCGCCGUGAGGUCUUCUGAGUGGAGUCUACUAUCUACCAGAGAUUUUUUGGCGUGUGUUUUAUGAUCAGAUAGGACUAAUGUCUGUGUUUAUAACUCUUACUACUACCUCUGGCUCCACCUCUCUUGGAGGGAGGAUAGGUCGAGUGUAACUAGAUCACGAACGUCUUUGUUAAACGUUACGUAGCACCUGUUAAACUAUCAUGUUUCACAAUCUGAAAUUUACUUUGCGUAGAGUGGGGAACAAAAGCCAAUGUAUAAAGAAACAGCAGCAUAUGGAGCUGAUGAAAAAACAUGGGACAAAUCUGCAGAAAUGCUUGCAGCUGCUACACUACUGCAAAGAGACAUCUAUACAUUCUUACCAAACCACAACAAAACAAAAUACUCAUGGCUAUUAUUAAAACCUUUAUUUCAUGAUGCAAACACAUACAUACUAUCUCACACAGACAACCAUAUAUGCUGCAACAUAACACUAUUGCAUACAAAUGGUAAUCACUUUGAUGUGGUUGUACCACAAGAGGCCAUAUGUAACCGUUUUUUGACAAAUCCACUGCUUGGAGUAUGAUGAUUUAGCCUAAAUUUUUAAGUGUUGAUUAAUAUUUCAUCUUACAAUAUAUUCAGAUUAGAUCUAUUUUGCUAUUUGAUUUUUUUUCUUGCCUUUGUAUUUUAUUACAUAAAAAUACAUAGAAAUAUACCCAUUUUUUAAAAGAUACCACAUUUUUCUUUUGCAUGUCAUUAAUUUCAUCAUUAAAUAAAAAUUUUUAUGUCCAUUAUUUUCAUGUAUUUAAAGUCAGGGUACCGGUAUCUAUUUAUUUAAUUACUUUUAUUUUGCCAAUAAAAGAUAUUUUGUUAGGCUUAGAGUUAUUUUUUUUAUUUUUCUAUUAAUUUUUUUGUCUGUUGUUAUUACUUUAACUACAUGAUUUUAAUUUCGAUUUUUAGUUAUUUUUCAAAGUACAAAAGAUUGUUUGCAUUUUAAAUGAAUUUUAAUAUUAGAUCUAAUAGCUGCUAGAAAGAAAGACAAAACAGCAACAGAAAAAAGUUGGCAAGUAAUUCAAGGGAGAUAUUCUAGUACUAAGCCUUAAAACCAAAAUGGCGUAUUUCCAAUGACAAUAUAUGUUAUUAACAAGUAGAACCAUGCCAACCAGUUCUGAUGAUGUACCAGAAUGGCUCAAGGAUCAUACUUAUACUAUUUCUACUCUCUGGGCAGACAUUAAUAACAUUGGCAUCCAUUCAAUAUUUAUUGUA